CUGUGAUAAGCUGGACUAUGUGAAUUGAAUUGAAAAUUGUAUCAUGUGAGGUGUAUGGUGACUCCCAAAUUGGUUGUCUACUAGGUCGAAUUAGGUUAUUUAAGUGAUUAUAAGGAGUCUAAUUGUAACUCGACUAGUUCUUUUGGAAUAUAGAAAAGACAUGACUAGCGUUUCCAUUUACUCAGGUCCUGACAAAUGGUAUCAACCGUUAAAUUUAUCAUAACAGGAUCAUCUACAAGAACACACAAAUACAAUAUGGAAAUAAAGCAAUAAAACAAAGACAUACAAAUUAAGUGGCUUGGCAAUGAAUCGUUAGCAAUCCAGAGCUGAAUGAUUCUGUUCUCUCUUCUGUCCAGUCUCUCAUCUCAUAGAUAUGAAUAUCCGUAACAAGAACAUUUAUAUUUAAGGGUGACUAAGCUUUCUCAGCUAAAAAUAGAAAAACGUAUUAGUAUUUUUUGAGCUUUCCAAAACACAAAACAAAUAGGAAUACAUGCCACACAUAUGUUUCCACAAUGACAAAAGGGUAAGUUUUUGUAAGGUGCUUUAUAUUAUUAUUAGGAUCCUAGUAUUUUUUGUACUCAAUUUUGGUGACUGAAUGAUUAGAUUUUCAUUUCUUUUUCUGAUGCAUUUACUGCUUUACGGUCUCUCAAGGCUAACUGGACGAACGUUCCUUCCAAUUGGGUGGGUUCUGAUCCCUGUGGUGGCCUUUGGGUAGGAAUUGAGUGCAUCAAUUCACGUGUGACCUCCAUAAUAUUAUCAAACAUGAAUUUGACGGGUCAGCUAUCAGGAGAUAUCGGGUCAUUUUCUGAGUUACAGAAUUUGGAUCUAUCUUUCAACACGUACAUGACAGGAACACUUCCACAAGAAAUUGGGAGAUUGAAGAAGCUAGAAAUCUU